rnacentral:rRNA from 1 species
GACAGAGGGUGCUAGCGUUGUUCGGAAUUACUGGGCGUAAAGGGCGCGUAGGCGGUCUGUUAAGUUCGGUGUGAAAUCCCCUGGCUCAACUGGGGAACUGCGCUGGAAACUGGCAGACUCGAGUACCGGAGAGGAGAGUGGAAUUCCUGGUGUAGCGGUGAAAUGCGUAGAUAUCUGGAGGAACACCGGUGGCGAAGGCGGCAUCCUGGACCGAGAUUGACGCUGAGGCGCGAAAGCCAGGGGAGCAAACGGG